rnacentral:rRNA from 1 species
UACGUAGGGGGGCUAGCGUUGUCCGGAUUUAUUGGGCGUAAAGAGCGUGUAGGCGGCCAGGUAGGUCUGCUGUGAAAACUCGAGGCUCAACCUCGAGACGUCGGCGGAAACCAUCUGGCUAGAGUCCGGAAGAGGAGAGUGGAAUUCCUGGUGUAGCGGUGAAAUGCGCAGAUAUCAGGAGGAACACCAAUGGCGAAGGCAGCUCGCUGGGACGUGACUGACGCUGAGACGCGAAAGCGUGGGGAGCAAACAGG